rnacentral:rRNA from 1 species
GACGAACGCUGGCGGCGUGCCUAAUACAUGCAAGUUGAGCGCUGAAGGUUGGUACUUGUACCAACUGGAUGAGCAGCGAACGGGUGAGUAACGCGUGGGGAAUCUGCCUUUGAGCGGGGGACAACAUUUGGAAACGAAUGCUAAUACCGCAUAAAAACUUUAAACACAAGUUUUAAGUUUGAAAGAUGCAAUUGCAUCACUCAAAGAUGAUCCCGCGUUGUAUUAGCUAGUUGGUGAGGUAAAGGCUCACCAAGGCGAUGAUACAUAGCCGACCUGAGAGGGUGAUCGGCCACAUUGGGACUGAGACACGGCCCAAACUCCUACGGGAGGCAGCAGUAGGGAGUCUUCGGCAAUGGACGAAAGUCUGACCGAGCAACGCCGCGUGAGUGAAGAAGGUUGUCGGAUCGUAAAACUCUGUUGGUAGAGAAGAACGUUGGUGAGAGUGGAAAGCUCAUCAAGUGACGGUAACUACCCAGAAAGGGACGGCUAACUACGUG